UACAGGGGGGCGAAGCGUUGUUCGGUAAUUACUGGGCGUAAAGGGCUCGUAGGUGCCAACUAAGUCGGACGUGAAAUCCCUCGAGCUAACUGGGGAACUGCGUCCGAUACUGGAUGGCUUGAGUUGGGAGAGGGAUGCGGAAUUCCAGGUGUAGCGGUGAAAUGCGUAGAUAUCUGGAGGAAUACCGGUGGCGAAGGCGGCAUCCGUGGACCGGCAGUUGACGCUGAGGAGCGAAAGCUGAAGGGGAGCAAACGGGGAUUAAGAU
rnacentral:rRNA from 1 species